rnacentral:tRNA from 1 species
GUGGCUGUAGCUCAGUGGUGAGCACUCGCCUAGCAGGUGUGAAGCACUGGGUUCAAUACUCAGCACCACA